GAUGAAGAACGUAGCGAACGUGCGAAACGUAAUGUGAAUUGCAGAAUUCAGUGAAUCAUCGAAUCUUUGAACGCAUCUUGCGCUCCUUGGUAUUCCGAGGAGCAUGCCUGUUUGGGUGUCGUGAAUACUCUCAACUUCAACCCUUUUUUCGGAAAGGGAGGAAGGUUGGACUUGGGUGUUUGUUGAAGUGCGAGCUUCGACUCAUCCUAAAUGCAUUAGCGAUCUGCCUCGAUCACACACAAUGUGAUAAUUAAAACUAAAGCAUUGUUUAAUGAUCAAGUCGAGACUGCUUCUAACUGUCGCAAGACAAUAACGUGCAUACAUUUGUGCAUGUCAUUUGACCUCAAAUCAGGUAGGACUACCCGCUGAACUUAAGCAUAUCAAUAAGCGGAGGA
rnacentral:misc_RNA from 1 species